rnacentral:rRNA from 1 species
ACCCGCUGAACUUAAGGCAUAUCAAUAAGCGGAGGA